UCCUACGGGAGGCAGCAGUGGGGAAUCUUGCGCAAUGGGCGAAAGCCUGACGCAGCAACGCCGCGUGGAGGAUGAAGGCCUUUGGGUUGUAAACUCCUGUCGGCUGGGAAGAAAUCAUACGGUGCUCAUACCACCGUGUGUUGACUGUACCAGCAAAGGAAGCCCCGGCUAACUCUGUGCCAGCAGCCGCGGUAAUACAGAGGGGGCCAGCGUUAUUCGGAAUUAUUGGGCGUAAAGGGCGCGUAGGCGGCCAUGCGUGUCUUCCGUGAAAUCCCUCGGCUUAACUGAGGACGUGCGGAAGAAACUGCAAGGCUCGAGUCCGGGAGAGGAGGGUGGAAUUCCCAGUGUAGCGGUGAAAUGCGUAGAUAUUGGGAGGAACACCGGUGGCGAAGGCGGCCCUCUGGACCGGUACUGACGCUGAUGCGCGAAAGCGUGGGUAGCAAACGGGAUUAGAUACCCCGGU
rnacentral:rRNA from 1 species